rnacentral:rRNA from 1 species
AUGGCCCUCGCAACAUAUAAACGAGGUUCAAAGGAUGUAUGUAUAGUAUCCUCUUUAAUUUUGCAAAAUUAUACGGUCCCCCCACGCCUCAUAUACCAAGUACCCAACAACGUCAAUCUUUCUGAUUCCAUGACAGGUGGAGCUGGUGGUGUGGCUCGGUUUCAUCAAGCGUUCCUUGGAGCAUGGAGUAAGCCCCUACCAGGAGUGUCUGAUCCUUUUGUUGCUGAGCUUUUAGCUCUCCGCGACUGGGUGAUCUUUGCACAACUGCGUGGGUACUCACAUGUGAUAAUGGAGGUUGAUUGCUUGGAGCUUGUCAACUAUGGAAUUCAUGCUGCAUCUCUCGUUCGGUAG